GGUACCUGGAGAGAGGUUUCCGGGUUUCUGUUUCUUUAAUGAGGAUGAAACACCACCUGGUUAACCUCUUUUCCAGUAUC
rfam:Myotis lucifugus cont2.47294, whole genome shotgun sequence.